GAUUAACGCUGGCGGCGUGCAUAACACAUGCAAGUCGAACGAUGAAACUUAACUGAUUUCUUCGGAAUGAUUUUAAGUGGCUUAGUGGCGGACGGGUGAGUAACGCGUGAGUAACCUGCCUUGGAGAAGGGGAUAGCCUUUGGAAACGAAGAAUAAUACCCUAUGAUAUGAUAAUAUCUCAUGAUAUUAUCAUCAAAGAUUUAUCGCUCUAAGAUGGACUUGCGUCUGAUUAGUUAGUUGGUGAGGUAACAGCUCACCAAGGCAGCGAUCAGUAGCCGGCUUGAGAGAGUGUACGGCCACAUUGGGACUGAGACACGGCCCAGACUCCUACGGGAGGCAGCAGUGGGGAAUUAUGCACAAUGGGGGAAACCCUGAUGCAGCGACGCCGCGUGAUUUAGAAGGCCUUCGGGUUGUAAAAAUCUUUUGUAUGGGAAGAAAAUGACAGUACCAUACGAAUAAGGACCGGCUAAUUACGUG
rnacentral:rRNA from 1 species